GACAGAGGGUGCAAACGUUGUCCGGAAUCAUUGGGCGUAAAGAGCGUGUAGGCGGCCAGGUAGGUCGGUUGUGAAAACUAGAGGCUCAACCUCUAGACGUCGACCGAAACCAUCUGGCUAGAGUCCGGAAGAGGAGAGUGGAAUUCCUGGUGUAGCGGUGAAAUGCGCAGAUAUCAGGAAGAACACCCGUGGCGAAGGCGGCUCUCUGGGACGGUACUGACGCUGAGACGCGAAAGCGUGGGGAGCGAACAGG
rnacentral:rRNA from 1 species